rnacentral:rRNA from 1 species
AGGCAGCAGUAGGGAAUAUUGGGCAAUGGAGGGAACUCUGACCCAGCCACGCCGCGUGCAGGAGGAAGGCGCUCUGCGUUGUAAACUGCUUUAGCAGGGGAAGAAAAAGGCCAUGCGUGGCAAAUUGACGGUACCCUGAGAAUAAGCACCGGCUAACUACGUGCCAGCAGCCGCGGUAAUACGUAGGGUGCAAGCGUUGUCCGGAUUUAUUGGGUUUAAAGGGUGCGUAGGCGGCCUGUUAAGUCAGUGUUUAAAUUUUGCAGCUUAACUGUAGGUAUGGCAUUGAUACUGAUGGGCUUGAAUAUUAGAGAGGUAGCUAGAAUUUAUGGUGUAGCGGUGAAAUGCAUAGAUACCAUAAGGAACACCGAUAGCGGAGGCAUGUUACCAUCUGGUUAUUGACGCUGAGGCACGAAAGUGUGGGGAUCAAACCAGGAUUAGAUACCCUGGUAG